GAUGAAGAACGUAGCGAAAUGCGAUAACUAAUGUGAAUUGCAGAAUUCCGUGAAUCAUCGAGUCUUUGAACGCACAUUGCGCCCCCUGGUAUUCCGGGGGGCAUGCCUGUCCGAGCGUCAUUGCUGCCCAUCAAGCACGGCUUGUGUGUUGGGUCCUCGUCCCCCCCGGGGGACGUGCCCGAAACGCAGCGGCGGCACCGCGUCCGGUCCUCGAGCGUAUGGGGCUUUGUCACCCGCUCUGCAGGCCCGGCCGGCGCUGGCCGACGCGAAAGCAACCAUUUUUUCUCCAGGUUGACCUCGGAUCAGGUAGGGAUACCCGCUGAACUUAAGCAUAUCAAUAAGCGGAGGA
rnacentral:misc_RNA from 1 species